AAGACUAUAUUUUUUGGGAUCAUUUCUAUAGUUCAUUACUAGAGAGUUUCUCUGAUUGUGUAGAAUACACGAAACCAUGAGGACAAAACUUAUUGUCCCCUCCUAAGUGUGAAGCUGCCUCUAAGUGCUGUUUCUGUGUAGCUGACUUUUGACAUUGAUCAUCGUUCUUCUCUCCUUUGGGAGCAUGAGGGGAGGAAGGCAGUCUGUGGA